UACGAAGGGGGCUAGCGUUGUUCGGAAUUACUGGGCGUAAAGCGUGCGCAGGCGGCUCAUCAAGUCAGAGGUGAAAGCCCAGGGCUCAACCCUGGAACUGCCUUUGAAACUGUUGGGCUUGAGUACGGGAGAGGUGAGUGGAAUUCCGAGUGUAGAGGUGAAAUUCGUAGAUAUUCGGAAGAACACCAGUGGCGAAGGCGGCUCUCUGGCCUGCAACUGACGCUGAGGCGCGAAAGCGUGGGGAGCGAGCAGG
rnacentral:rRNA from 1 species